CGCGAAGAACCUUACCAAAUCUUGACAUCCUUUGACCGCUCUAGAGAUAGAGUUUUCCCCUUCGGGGGACAAAGUGACAGGUGGUGCAUGGUUGUCGUCAGCUCGUGUUGUGAGAUGUUGGGUUAAGUCCCGCAACGAGCGCAACCCUUAAGCUUAGUUGCCAUCAUUAAGUUGGGCACUCUAAGUUGGCUGCCGGUGACAAACCGGAGGAAGGUGGGGAUGACGUCAAAUCAUCAUGCCCCUUAUGAUUUGGGCUACACACGUGCUACAAUGGACAAUACAAAGGGCAGCUAAACCGCGAGGUCAAGCAAAUCCCAUAAAGUUGUUCUCAGUUCGGAUUGUAGUCUGCAACUCGACUACAUGAAGCUGGAAUCGCUAGUAAUCGUAGAUCAGCAUGCUACGGUGAAUACGUUCCCGGGUCUUGUACACACC
rnacentral:rRNA from 1 species